GAUUAAGUUAUUAAGGGCGCACGGUGGAUGCCUUGGCACUAGAAGCCGAUGAAGGACGUUACUAACGACGAUAUGCUUUGGGUAGCUGUAAGUAAGCGUUGAUCCAGAGAUUUCCGAAUGAGGGAACCCAGCAUGAGUUAUGUCAUGUUAUCGACAUGUGAAUUCAUAGCAUGUCAGAAGGCAGACCCGGAGAACUGAAACAUCUUAGUACCCGGAGGA
rnacentral:rRNA from 1 species